CCUCUUCAACUUGUUGCGGACAGAUAAAGUGAAUAUGGGAAUCAAUACCGCCAGCGGUUAAAAUUUGACCUUCGCCGGCAAUAACUUCGGUGCCGGCACCGAUUUCAAAAUCCACAUUCGGCUGAAUAUCCGAAUUCCCUGCCUUACCGAUGGCAACGAUCAACCCAUCCUUGAUACCGAUAUCAGCUUUUACAAUCCCCCAAGUAUCGAGAAUCAAGGCAUUGGUAAUAACCGUAUCAACGACUUCAUCUGCACAUAGCUGACCUUGACCCAUACCGUCACG
rnacentral:sRNA from 1 species